rnacentral:rRNA from 1 species
AUACGGAGGGUCCAAGCGUUAUCCGGAUUUAUUGGGUUUAAAGGGUCCGUAGGCGGGAAAUUAAGUCAGUGGUGAAAGCCUGCAGCUCAACUGUAGAAUUGCCAUUGAUACUGAUUUUCUUGAAUCUAUUUGAAGUAGGCGGAAUAGGUCAUGUAGCGGUGAAAUGCAUAGAGACGACCUAGAACACCGAUUGCGAAGGCAGCUUACUAAGUUAGUAUUGACGCUGAGGGACGAAAGCGUGGGGAGCGAACAGGAUUAGAAACCCUUGUAGUCC